rnacentral:rRNA from 1 species
GAUGAACGCUGGCGGUGUGCCUAAUACAUGCAAGUCGAGCGAACAGACGAGGAGCUUACUCCUCUGACGUUAGCGGCGGACGGGUGAGUAACACGUGGAUAACCUACCUAUAAGACUGGGAUAACUUCGGGAAACCGGAGCUAAUACCGGAUAACAUGUUGAACCGCAUGGUUCAACAGUGAAAGACGGUCUUGCUGUCACUUAUAGAUGGAUCCGCGUCGCAUUAGCUAGCUGGUAAGGUAACGGCUUACCAAGGCAACGAUGCGUAGCCGACCUGAGAGGGUGAUCGGCCACACUGGAACUGAGACACGGUCCAGACUCCUACGGGAGGCAGCAGUAGGGAAUCUUCCGCAAUGGGCGAAAGCCUGACGGAGCAACGCCGCGUGAGUGAAGAAGGUCUUCGGAUCGUAAAACUCUGUUAUUAGGGAAGAACAAAUGUGUAAGUAACUAUGCACGUCUUGACGGUACCUAAUCAGAAAGCCACGGCUAACUACGUG